AGACCCCCCCCCUUCCCUAUUCCUUUGCCAAAUGAGCCACCGGGGCUGCACCCUUUGUGGGCUGCGAAGACCCCUCAGGUGAGAAUCAAAGCACCCUGGGAUGCUCAAGUGCAAUGAGUUGGGGUCAUGGGGGCAGCUCCAGGAUGGGCUCUUGGACCCCUUCCCCUCCCUCCAGCUCCCUAUGCAGCAGCAGAGCGGUGAGGACGGCCCCAUAUGGCAGCAUGGGGUCCCUCCUGGCUGCACCCGCACUGCCCACAGCCCAGCGGGUCAGGUGCAGCGUCUGCAGAAAAGUUGUGUUUGAUUUUGAAAUGCUGAAGGCUGCACAAUUCCAGCCCCACUUCUGGACGGAUCAGCAGAAAACUUGCUUGCUUUGGGAAGACUUGUGCGAGCCGGAGCGAUGCCAGCAGAGCGCGGGAGCAAAGAGCUGCCCACAGCAGCACCCAGCACCCACCCAACAUGAGAGCUCCAUUGGGGGACAGUGUCCCCUCCUUGCUCCAUCACUCUGCAGCCAAUGUGUGCAAACAGCAAGCGGCACCCCCAGCUCCAAGGGUCCCCUUGCAAAAGGUGAGGGGCUCUAGGACACCCCCAGUCCCAUAUAUCCCCAUGGCACAGCAACCCGAUGCAGGUGGGACCCCCAUGGCACAGCAACCCAAUGCAGGUGGGACCCCCAUGACACAGCAGGGUGGGACCCCCAGAUGGGGAAGGCAGCCAUGCAGCCACGCUGUUGAUCCUGCACUAAAUCACUACGAUGGUGACAACGUGAGCCUGUUUUCCUGCUAUUAGAGAUGCUGUGACACAACAACAUCUUGGAGCACGAUGAAAUGGAUGUGAGGAGAUGGUGCCGUGCUGCUCGGCUCUAACAAGCAGGAUUUGGUGUUUUCAUAACCUGGAAUUGCAUUGUGCAUCACUGUGAUGCUCCCACACGGCUGUGGCACAGCAGGAGUGAGCUCAGCUCAGAAUCACCCACAGCACCAGGUCGUGUGUGCACAGAGGGCACAGCGGGACCAACAGACACGGCACAGUGUGACCAAUGGACGUGGCACAGCAGGACCGAUGGACAGAGCAGCAGUGCGAGGUGAGAUGGCUGAGAUCCUUGGGGAAACCAAGAGCAGGUGGGAAGGAAAUGGAGCAUCGCGGGCACAGGGCAACGCAAAGGGAUCCAGCAGGAG